GGGUUGUGAGGUUAAGCGACUAAGCGUACACGGUGGAUGCCCUGGCAGUCAGAGGCGAUGAAGGACGUGCUAAUCUGCGAUAAGCGUCGGUAAGGUGAUAUGAACCGUUAUAACCGGCGAUUUCCGAAUGGGGAAACCCAGUGUGUUUCGACACACUAUCAUUAACUGAAUCCAUAGGUUAAUGAGGCGAACCGGGGGAACUGAAACAUCUAAGUACCCCGAGGAAAAGAAAUCAACCGAGAUUCCCCCAGUAGCGGCGAGCGAACGGGGAGCAGCCCAGAGCCUGAAUCAGUGUGUGUGUUAGUGGAAGCGUCUGGAAAGGCGCGCGAUACAGGGUGACAGCCCCGUACACAAAAAUGCACAUACUGUGAGCUCGAUGAGUAGGGCGGGACACGUGGUAUCCUGUCUGAAUAUGGGGGGACCAUCCUCCAAGGCUAAAUACUCCUGACUGACCGAUAGUGAACCAGUACCGUGAGGGAAAGGCGAAAAGAACCCCGGCGAGGGGAGUGAAAAAGAACCUGAAACCGUGUACGUACAAGCAGUGGGAGCACGCUUAGGCGUGUGACUGCGUACCUUUUGUAUAAUGGGUCAGCGACUUAUAUUCUGUAGCAAGGUUAACCGAAUAGGGGAGCCGAAGGGAAACCGAGUCUUAACUGGGCGUUAAGUUGCAGGGUAUAGACCCGAAACCCGGUGAUCUAGCCAUGGGCAGGUUGAAGGUUGGGUAACACUAACUGGAGGACCGAACCGACUAAUGUUGAAAAAUUAGCGGAUGACUUGUGGCUGGGGGUGAAAGGCCAAUCAAACCGGGAGAUAGCUGGUUCUCCCCGAAAGCUAUUUAGGUAGCGCCUCGUGAAUUCAUCUCCGGGGGUAGAGCACUGUUUCGGCAAGGGGGUCAUCCCGACUUACCAACCCGAUGCAAACUGCGAAUACCGGAGAAUGUUAUCACGGGAGACACACGGCGGGUGCUAACGUCCGUCGUGAAGAGGGAAACAACCCAGACCGCCAGCUAAGGUCCCAAAGUCAUGGUUAAGUGGGAAACGAUGUGGGAAGGCCCAGACAGCCAGGAUGUUGGCUUAGAAGCAGCCAUCAUUUAAAGAAAGCGUAAUAGCUCACUGGUCGAGUCGGCCUGCGCGGAAGAUGUAACGGGGCUAAACCAUGCACCGAAGCUGCGGCAGCGACGCUUAUGCGUUGUUGGGUAGGGGAGCGUUCUGUAAGCCUGCGAAGGUGUGCUGUGAGGCAUGCUGGAGGUAUCAGAAGUGCGAAUGCUGACAUAAGUAACGAUAAAGCGGGUGAAAAGCCCGCUCGCCGGAAGACCAAGGGUUCCUGUCCAACGUUAAUCGGGGCAGGGUGAGUCGACCCCUAAGGCGAGGCCGAAAGGCGUAGUCGAUGGGAAACAGGUUAAUAUUCCUGUACUUGGUGUUACUGCGAAGGGGGGACGGAGAAGGCUAUGUUGGCCGGGCGACGGUUGUCCCGGUUUAAGCGUGUAGGCUGGUUUUCCAGGCAAAUCCGGAAAAUCAAGGCUGAGGCGUGAUGACGAGGCACUACGGUGCUGAAGCAACAAAUGCCCUGCUUCCAGGAAAAGCCUCUAAGCAUCAGGUAACAUCAAAUCGUACCCCAAACCGACACAGGUGGUCAGGUAGAGAAUACCAAGGCGCUUGAGAGAACUCGGGUGAAGGAACUAGGCAAAAUGGUGCCGUAACUUCGGGAGAAGGCACGCUGAUAUGUAGGUGAAGUCCCUCGCGGAUGGAGCUGAAAUCAGUCGAAGAUACCAGCUGGCUGCAACUGUUUAUUAAAAACACAGCACUGUGCAAACACGAAAGUGGACGUAUACGGUGUGACGCCUGCCCGGUGCCGGAAGGUUAAUUGAUGGGGU
rnacentral:rRNA from 1 species